rnacentral:pre_miRNA from 1 species
UAUGUACUCCCUCCGUUCGGAAUUACUUGUCUCGGAAAUGGAUGUAUCUAGAACUAAAAUACAUCUAGAUACAUCAAUUUCUGCGGCAAGUAAUUCCGAACGGAGGGAGUACCUA